rnacentral:rRNA from 1 species
UACAGAGGUGGCAAGCGUUGUUCGGAAUUACUGGGCGUAAAGGGCGCGUAGGCGGCCUUCUAAGUCGGACGUGAAAGCCCCAGGCUUAACCUGGGAACUGCGUCCGAUACUGGGAGGCUUGGAUUCGGGAGAGGGAUGUGGAAUUCCAGGUGUAGCGGUGAAAUGCGUAGAUAUCUGGAGGAACAUCGGUGGCGAAGGCGGCAUCCUGGACCGGUAUUGACGCUGAGGCGCGAAAGCCAGGGGAGCAAACGGG